AGGCCCAGCUGAGAUCGGUUCCAGCCCCCUACCACCAUGACCCCGAGAGGGACAAGCGUGAUGUCAACAAUGAAGGCUUUCAUUGAUUGCAAAAAUAAGAAGAAAUGUGACUUAAUGCUCCCACGUCAAUGCAGCGUCCUUCAGCUGCUGUGGCUGAGAGUUAAUGAGGUUCCGAUAUCGGCCCUGGCUUCCGCCCGAGUGCAGAACGGCUACAGCCCCCCCCCCACGACCCCGAGAGGGACAAGCGGUAGAAAAUGGAUGGAUAGAUAAGGGUUCCGAUACAGAUCAUCCAUGAGUGAGAUCAGCCGAUAGCGUUUACAUGUAUUAACUGUACAUUUUUCAAUUUGUUUAUGGUUAUUGACCAUAUACUACUAAUUCCAAUCAUAUGGUUUUGCCUUCAUAGUCAUAGUGUGUCCUGGGAAUUAUUUCCUAUACUUGUAAACAUUAAGAAAAACAACAAAAAAAUUAUUUUGAGAAAAUAAAAAUAUCGACCAAGUCACUCUAGUAAGGAUCAUACACUGAAAAUACCCUUGGUAUCGAUACUACUAAUUUAAGGUUCAAGCCGCUCUCACAAUACAUGUCAUGUACUGACACUGAUGCUGACACACCAACAGUUGUAGUUAUAUUAUCCUCUCUCUAGACCAGGGGUGUCCAAACUACAGGUCGUUUGGCCCGCAAGACAACAUGAGGUCAAUAAAGUAUCGCACCAGGGAAUUGCACUCAAAUUAAUAUUAAAUGCUAAUCUUUGAAUGCUACGAACUGCUGACAUCUUGUUGACCAUGAGAGUAAAUCAGAUCAAUGACCCUCGACUGUACUUUAAAAUGAUAGCACAGCAUUUUACUCAUAUGACACAAUCUAAACAACCUUCCCUAGUCAUGGUGCAAAAAAAAAUGCAACUAACAUAACACAUGGUCACACAUAACACAACCAGCUUACUGAACUUUUUACAAACACAUAAUGAAAAAAUGUCCAAACAACAUAAAACAAUUGAAAGUUACAUCCAUUAAAGGGCAUGAUGUCAAACACUCUCCUACACUUAUCCAUGUUUGGCACAUUUCAGCUGCUUGAUAUUUCUCAUUGAUUACAAAACUUUAAAUAUGUCGUCACGGAAGUAAACAAGGUAUGAACCGAACUUUCACAUACUCCUAAUAUCCAAUUAUAAUAAUAAUAAUACAUAUUCAUUAUAUUAAUAUAAUAUGUACACAUACAUACAUACAUACAUAUAUAUGUAUAGUUACUUUACAUGCAGUCAGCUUUCGGCCCCUGGCAAAAAAUAUUUUAGCCCAAUGCGUUUGGACACCCCUGCUCAAGACUCUUCAUAAUCUACUUAUUAAUUUCCUGUUAAUAUCUACUCACUUUU